rnacentral:rRNA from 1 species
AUUGAACGCUGGCGGCAGGCCUAACACAUGCAAGUCGAGCGCGAGCCGGACGGGUGAGUAAUAUCUGUGAAACUGCCCGCUGGAGGGGGAUAACUCCUGGAAACGGUAGCGAAUACCGCAUACCCUCAGAUGUGCCCACAUGGGGUUAGCUAGUGGGUGGGGUAACGGCUCACCUAGGCGACGAGCCCUAGAUGGUCUGAGAGGAUGACCAGCCACACUGGAACGGAGACACGGUCCAGACUCCUACGGGAGGCAGCAGUGGGGAAUAUUGCACAAUGGGCGCAAGCCUGAUGCAGCCAUGCCGCGUGUGUGAAGAAGGCCUUCGGGUUGUAAAGCACUUUCAGCGGGGAGGCGUUACCCGCAGAAGAAGCACCGGCUAACUCCGUGCCAGCAGCCGCGGUAAUAC